AGAAACACAAGCACAAACAUUCAAGAUACAACCUGGAGCUUUCACAACAGCAAACCCCUAUAUUUAGCUAAAUUCAAAGAAUAAUAUGCUUUGUUUGCAUGCAUUGCAUCGUUAUUACUCUAUCACUUAAGUAUUUAUUUCGCAAAUCGUGUGCAGAAACGUUGCUCUUAAGUCAGUCGGUGCCUCUCUAAGGACCGUUCCGAUACUUUUGGCAUUCAGUGGCUGUAGCAACACAGCUAAUAUUAAUUCAGCAUGUGGUCAGCAGUCUCUUCCUCUGUCUCACAUUUCAGCUGCUCACAGACAACAGACGAGCAUCUGAUACUCUCUUGUGGUUCGGACUCUAUUGGUCAGCAGUGGUUUGUAGAGUGUCGUACCUCUCUCUCAGGUUUGUGUGGGUCCAUUAGGGUCACUGGUUCUCCCUGUCGAACCAGCACAGCUUGAGAGUCGCCCAGCCAGGAGACGGUCAGGUGAUCAGAGGUGCUUUUGAAGGCUGUGGCAGCAUCACUUUUGAGCUCCUCCUGCUGGCUCAGUAUGAUAUGCAGGUGAGUGGCAGCAUAUGUGGCAGCAUCCACCCCUCCGUGUCCAUCAAACACAGCGUAAUACUCUCGAUCUACACCAUCCUGUGGAAAACAGACACAAAAUCACAUUCAUUCCUCAGAGACAGGGCAAUACGCAUAUUCGGGAAUGGGGUUGGUUAAAUAUCUACUACAAUGCAAGAUGUGGCGGUCUUACCUGCAGUCCUAGAAGCUGGUUAAACUCUCUCAGGAUGAUGUGACGGUCCUCCAUCUUCCUGCGAGUGUUACGAAUGGCAUGAAUGGAGCAGCUGUGUGUCUGUAAUGAGGACGACCCGGGACUGGGCAGCUGUUUCUGCCAAGCCAUACACACCUCUCUCAAGUUAUUGAUAAAGAGGCGCUGCAAUGGCUCAGACUGUAACACUGCAGAGUCACACACACACACACACUCAGCAUGAUGCUACAGUGUUUAAACAGAGGUUCAUUGAAAUCACACAUAUAGACUGAAAUCACGUAAACAAUCAAUAAAACAACCAAGAACGGAAACUUUUUCUCAGAAGAGAUAAGUUGUCAAAGGUAAUGUCAAAUCUGUCAAAUCUUCAUGUAGUACUUCUAUUUGAACUCUAGAGGGCAGCGAAGCAACUCAGCAUUACAUUGUCAUCUUCAAUUGUUUAUAUUUAUUCAUUAACUUUGAUGAGUAUUGUCAGCCUGUUAGUCACAUAUUUAAAUUAGUCAUUUUUGGUG